rnacentral:lncRNA from 1 species
AAGCAGGAGGGAGGACUGCCUGCACGUGGGGAGCUUCACUUGUCUGUCUUAUUUCCCCUCAGAAAUCCUGAGGCAGAGUUAAGUGUGCAGGCUUUGCCCAGAGGACGCCUUGGGCUGAAUCUUGUCCUUCCCGCUUGCUAACUGUGUGACCUCAGGUGAGGUGACUUAAGCUCUCAACCUCAGAUUCUUCAUCUGUAAAAUGGAGUUAUAAUCACUAACUCGCAGGAUUGUUGUGAGAACUAAGCAAGGCAAACCUAUGAAGCCCUCGGAUCAGUGGUUGACACACAGCAAACCCGCCAUGAGUGUUUGCUACUAUUAUUCUUCUCAUUGGACAGAGGUGCAACCUGAGGCGCAGAGAGUAAAGUAACACCCACGUCCGUGCUCUCUCUCCAUCACGCAGACAAGGAAGCUGAGGCUCAAAAGGGUAAGUAAUUCACUUGAGGUCACCUGGCGUCUAAGCGGCAGAGCUGAGAAACCUUAGGCAUUAAAGUGAAGUGGGUGUUUCUGGGGAGUUGUCAAUCAAGAUUCCUGGCCCCAGCCCUCAGCAUCAAGGAUAGGAAUAAGAAGGAUGCGUGAGGCCCAAGCAGAGAAAAUCCACUGAAAUUUGGAUGCUGGGAGGAAGAAGUUUUGUGAUAUUUUUAUCUUUUCUGUUGAUAUUGUUGGACAUCUGAAGCUGUGGCAGGAAUAGCUUUCUGUAGAAUGAAACCAAGCAGAGAGAAGAAAAGUCAAGAGACCAAUGAAGAGAGGUCUAUGGCAGUGGUUCUCAGCCUUGGUUGCACGUUGGAGUCACUGGGGAGCUUUAAAAACAACUGACGUCUGGGUCCAGCCCCAGUAAUUUUUAUUUGAUUGGUCUGAGUUGCAGCCUGGGCCUUGGGACUUUCAAAGCCCCCUGGAGGAUUCUUACGGGCAGCCAAGGAUGUGAACUGCUUGUCUAGCGACACCACAUCAGGUCCCCGAGGCCUUGGUUCCAGCAGCUCUUCCUAAUUCUGUAACCCAUCUUGGUGCCCUCAGUGUCAAUAACUUUCCUUUUUUUGCUUAAUUAAGAUUGAAUUGAAUUUCUGUCAUUUGCGGCCAAAAGAAAUCUAACCAAAAAACAAAGACUGUAAUCAUAGCUAACAUCUAUUGAGCAUCAGGGAUGUGCUGGGGAGUUUGAAGUGCUUUACUUAUAUGAUCUCAUUUAAUUUAAUCUUUACAACAUCCUCAGAGGUAGAAAACUAUUACUGUCUCCAUUUUACAGAUGAGCAAAUGAGACAUCAAAAGAUAAAGUGACUUGCCAAAAUUUACACAGCCUGUAAGCGCAGAGCUGGAAUGUGAACCAAGAAACUUCCUUAACCAUCUCACCUGAAGGUAGAACCAAGAGAGGAGGCCAAUUCCCUGCCUGAAGCUCAGAAAGGGGGUCUUCAAACAGCCAGAAUAUGAAUGCUUUUAUGAGGAAGAAGCUUUUGGCUGAAAUAACAGAAAACCCCAACCC